UCGGUUGAGGGUAUCUGUCGUACUUCUGCUUUCUUCUCGGGCUCGCUCGGGCAAGCCUUUGUCGGGCAGAUCUUGGUCGGGCAAGACACACUUCGGGCAAGGCUCGUCGGGCAGUUCUGAAAGAGAAGGACAGAGUUAAUUUGAAAGGGUACCUUUGUGGGGCCUUAGGUGUAGGCCUUAAGGCUCACAAUCAAGAUUAACUUUGUCGUGCUCAGGCGUGCCACUGCCAUCUUCAGUAUGGCAGAUGUUGAAUGGGUGUUAAGCUUUGAUUGAAUAUGUAUACGUCCGAGAAACCAAGUUAGAUAUAACAGGUGCCUUUGGGGGGCCUUAGGUAUAGGCCUUGAGGCUUCCUGUCAAACUAAACUAGCGCUUGGAUGUAUCAUAUUUGGUCUUUUAUGGUUGCCAGAGUCUUAUUACUAUUAUACCUUUGAUUAUCUGAAUCCAAGAGGUAGGACGAACCCAAAUGAGUGCCUUUGUAGGGCCUUAGGUAUAGGCCUUGAGGCUUCCCAUCAGAGUUAAUCCUUAUACUCGGACCAACUAGACCGCAACAUGAAAUGAAGCUAAAUAGAUGCCUUCGUGGGGCCUUAGGUGUAGGCCUUGAGGCUUUCUAUCAGAAUUCACUCCAUGCUUAAGCCUUUUCUACGAAUCAAGAUAUAAUAGCAACAAAACGGAGAAAUAGAUUGAUUACUUGCGCCCCAAGUAACUUCGGACUUCUCGCUUAUCAAGGAUUGUCGUGGAUGGGUUGAGUCCACAUAGAGUUCUUUUUUUAUGCCUUGAGGCCAAGGACUUUACUGAUCUUUAAAUUACAUGCCCGCGGGCUUAAGACUUAGAUCUGAUUUGACCUCUGACGCGAUUCAGAUCGGAUUCAAGUGCUGAAGACUCAUUUUCAUUAUGACUUUGCUAGAAAUAACUUGUAUAUAACUGGGAAUAUAUAUAACAUGUUAUUGUGCUUUUGAAAGAAAGAAAAGACAAAGACAGAGCAAAGAUAGUCGGGUAAGUUUGAACCUUAUCGGCCAAGGCUGAACUUCUUACAAAAUCUAUCUUUGUGGCUCUGUCAGAGGUCUGAAAGCUUUUAGAGGGGUUGACGGGGGAGAAGAGGAUACAAAAUGAAUCGAUACCACCAUGAAUAAGGUAGCAGAGCUAUUACAGGGGUUUGGGAAGGUUUAUCCCGAAUGGGAUGAAGGCUUGUGCUGACUACAGCUUCGUUGAAGGCAAAUCUGGCUUGAGCAGAGUUUUGGCUUUUGUUUGUUUGAUUGAGUGUCCUUAAUUCUGUCUUCUCUUCCUCCUUUUAUAGACGACUUCAGCUUGGGUUCCUGUAGCAAUAGCGGUGCCCGAAUGCGGUUUGGUGAUGACUCACUAGCUUUUUUACAUGAAUGCCACCAAUAAAGUACUUUAUUGGGCUAUGUAUUGACUGAAUAGCCUACCCCCUGUGGUCUUUGAGCAGGUAAGCAGGUGGCCUUUGUAACUUGUGCCCAGCCGAAAGCCUCUUUCCUGCCUCCUAAGUUUUCCUCUGGGCCUUGGGUUUGGGCCGACUUUCUCUCUGGCCCAAAGUUCAGAUUUUAUCCCAAACA
rnacentral:lncRNA from 1 species